AGUGUUAAUUAAGGUAGAUUUAUUAUAAAUAAAAUACAUCAAUAUAAAUCAUUAUUAUCGGCCUCCGAAGCCGAAUCGCAAGUUCGAUUCUUGCAGGGCGGGCCA
rnacentral:tRNA from 1 species